UACGGGGGGGGCAAGCGUUGUUCGGAAUUACUGGGCGUAAAGGGCGCGUAGGCGGUUCGAUAAGUCAGCUGUGAAAACCAUGGGCUUAACUCAUGGCCUGCAGUUGAGACUGUCGGGCUGGAGUGUGGGAGAGGAGAGUGGAAUUCCUGGUGUAGCGGUGAAAUGCGCAGAUAUCAGGAGGAACACCGAUAGCGAAGGCAGCUCGCUGGGACGGUACUGACGCUAAGGCGCGAAAGCGUGGGGAGCGAACAGG
rnacentral:rRNA from 1 species